GAGUGCAUCAGACGAAGCCCAGGCAGGACUCCACAACUCAAAGCAAGCGCAGUAUAAAUUCAUCUCCUCACACGGGUUGAACAUCAAAGUUAUCCCCAACCAAGUCCAAGACAUUCAUGUCUUUGUGCUGCAGAGACCGUGAGAUGGAAGACAUUGCAGUUCAAGCCCGUCACCGGAGGAAUCGUGAAUCAUUCAUUGAAGCUGAAAGGGCGAGCUAUGUGGCAGUACCCCAAUCAUUCCUGGUUCUUGACCGGAACGCACAGCCAUGGGUGAUGCACGAAUAUCACCUAAAUGGCGAUCCACUUUAGUACACUUCAAGAGGCCAGUAGGAUCCUGCUGCCUCGUCCGACCAAUCCAAGCGACCGAAGACACUUGUGAAUCCGUAUUCAAGUUAGGUUUCUACAUGCUAAAUGUGGAUUCACGAUAAGCUUUGUGUAUUAGAAAUAAAAUCUCCUUCUUA